GACCGGAUAACCGCUGAAAGCAUCUAAGCGGGAAGCCGUCUUCGAGAUGAGAUUUCCAUGCACCUUGAGUGUGAGAGGCUCCCAGCAGACUACUGGGUUGAUAGGCCGGAUGUGGAAGCGGGGACUAACGACCCGUGGAGCUGACCGGUACUAAUAAGCCGAAGACUUGACAAC
rnacentral:ncRNA from 1 species